GGAGACACAGGGCUGUAGCCCAGAGCGGGAGCACAUCCAGUGUGCUCCUGCAGGUGGAAUAAGGUUUUUCCUGGUUGAGGGAUACUCUGUGACAAGGGAGGAGGAAACCAAGAGGUGGGGGAUAAAGUGAAGUAAUUGAAGCAAGUGGGUCAUGUAUUCCUUUUGCUAGCUGACUCCCCACUGCUUCGGACUUCAUCUUCAGAAAUCAUCUUCUGACAGGAACAGAUCCCUUCAGGAUAAAUCGGAUUCUUGAAUUGUUUGCAGAGCUGAUACUCCCUCAACGAAUUUUGUGGAGAUUGAAACAAUGAAAUCCCUACCUCCUUGUUUCUAAGAUGUUACUUGAUGUAGAUGAAAAAAAAAAAACUAUUUAAAGCAGGACAGCAGCAAGGAAUGCAGUGGCCAGCAGGAGAGGAGGAGCAGAGGAGCAGCAGAGGCUUUUAAAACUAAUCUGUCUUUAAAAACUCUUCUACAACUUAGAGCUGGGCCAGGGUCCUACAAUUCCAGACUUCUGGUCACCACAAUCUCCUGGUUACUGAAUGCAGGGGACAGUGGUAUUCUAGAAUCAUGCCUUCAAGAUAAAGAAGAUUUUCUGGAUUUCUAUCCUAGGGAAACUAUAAGUUCAAGAAAGAUCAACUUCAAGAAUUUGGGAACUUUCUAGAGAAAAGAAAGGAAAUUUUUUCUGAUGCAGCAUGCCCAUGAGAAAUAAGAACAGCCCUAUAGUUACUGCAAAGUGCCUUAUUCAGAGAAGUGGAUUAGUGUCAUGCUCAGAUAUAUCUGAGAGUCACUUGGUAGAGGAAAGUCUUAGUAAAGCAAGAUAAUUCCUCCACUUUUGCAGGUAGUCACUUGCUUUGCAAUUUAUACAGUAAUUUUUAAGAAUUAGUUGCCUGGGA
rnacentral:lncRNA from 1 species